rnacentral:rRNA from 1 species
AAAAAGAUAAAGCAUUAAGUGGUACCUUGGCAAUACUUUCAGGACGUAAAAAAAUGCGAUAAUCUAAAUGUAUUAAAUAUUAUAUUUAGGUAUCCUAAGGAAAACCGUUUUAUAUAAACUAUUUACUUUGUGAAUUGAAUCAUCUUAGUAGCAAAAGGAAAAGAAAUCAAACGAGAUUUCGGGAUGAGUGGCGAACAAAACCGAAAAAAGCUAUAUUUGCAGAAUAAUUAAUUUCGUACCAUAGAAGGUAACCAGUCCUGUGAAUUAUUUUUUUAUUUUUUUAGUAAAUCUAGAAAGGUUUUCUAGCUUGAAUAAAGGAAAACCAUUUUCUAAAGCUUAAAUAUAAUGUAUUGACCUAUAGUGAACAAGUACCGUGAGGGAAAGGUUUAAACUUAAAUGCUGAUAAUCAAUCGGAGUAACUUUUGUUAUUACGGUGUACUUUUUGUAUAACGGGCCAGAGAGUUAAUUGUAAAAGCUAUGUUUAACUUCAAAGCAAACGUAGGGAAACCGAGUCUAAAAAGGCGUUAGUUUUUAUAAUUAGACCCGAAACCAAGUGAUCUAUUCAUGAUCAAGUUGAGGGAAAAUGAAAGUUUUUCUAAGGACUGAACUCGUAUUUGUUGCAAAAAAUUGAGAUGAAUUGUGAAUAGGAGUGAAAGGCUAAUCAAACUUGGUUAUAGCUGGUUUUCUGCGAAAUCUAUUUAGGUAGAGUGUAUUUUAUUAUUUAAGGGGUAGAGCAACUAUUUAAAAAAAGGAGUCUUUUCUCACUGCUUUUAAGUAAACUUCGAAUACUUUGAAAUUAGAAAAUACAAACAGACCUUGGGUGAUAAGGUCCUAGGUCUAGAGGGAAACAGCCCAGAUUAGUUAUUAAGGCCCCAAAAUUUUACUUAAAAAUGAAGCCGCUUUAUAUUUUUGCUAUUUAGGAGGUAGGCUUGGAAGCAGCCAUCCUUUAAAGAAAGCGUAAUAGCUCAGUAAACAAAAUAUAUUGUGCUGAUAAUGUAAGGGUUUAAAGUAAAUGCCGAAAUUCUAAAAGUAAUUUUUACUUGGUAGCAGAACGUUUUGUGAUAAGUAUAAUUAGUCGUAAGAUUAAUUUUAAAAACAAAAGUGCAAAUUCUGGCAUGAGUAACGUAAUGUUUUGUUUAUUUUUAAUCAAAACCACUGAAAACCUAAAGUUUCCUAUUCAAUGUUCGACAGAAUAGAGGUUAUUCGAUCUCUAAGUUAUUUUACGAAAGUAAAAGACAAUGAGUUUUUUAAAUUAACUGUUUAUUUUUAAACACAAGAAAAAUUUUAAAAAAAAAUCGUACUUAAACCGACACAGGUAGGUAAGCAUAAGUGUGCUAAAGUGUUUAAGUGAUAUUUUGUUAAGGAACUCGGCAAAAUGACCCUGUAACAUUUGGAUAAAGGGUACCUAAAUUAGGUUUCAAAAAAGAGAGGGUAGCAACUGUUUAAUAAAAACACAAGCGUUUGCCAAUUUGUAAAAAGUAGUAUAAGCGCUGACACCUGCCCAGUGUGGAAAAAUGAAGUUUUAAAGUUUAUGCUUUAAUUAUAAGUUUCCAUAAACGGCGGCAGUAACUAUGACUGUCCUAAGGUAGCGAAAUUCAUUGGUCACUAAUUAUGAUCCUGCAUGAGUGGUGUAAUGACUGCCCUACUGUCUCAACAAAAUGCUUAGUGAAAUUGAAUUAACUGUGAAGAUGCAGUUUACUCGUAGAAAGACGAAAAGACCCUGUAGACCUUUACUGCACUGAUGUAAAGUUAUUUUUAAUUAAGUAUACAGUUAAAUGGGAGUUUUUAUACAAUCGUGAGAUACCAUUUGCUUUAUUAAAUCUACUUAUUUUAUUUUAAAAGAAAGUGCAUCACUGGUAGUUUAUCUGGGGCGGAUUCCUCCUAAAAAGUAACGGAGGAGCACAAAGGCAAAUAAAGAGUGUUUUAGCACUUUUUAAAAGCGUAACAGCUCAAGUUUGCUUUACUGAUAGAAAGACAUUUCAAUCAGUAGUUUAACCGCUGGUUGUAGUGAUCCGGUAUUUUUUUAUGGAAAAAAUAUCGCUUAACGAAUAAAAGGUACCUCAGGGAUAACAGGCUUAUAUUUUUUAAGAGCUCCUAUCGAUAAAAAUGUUUGGCACCUCGAUGUCGGUUUAACACAUCCUAGUGCUGAAGCAGGUGCUAAGGGUUUAACUGUUCGUUGAUUAAAGUGUUACAUGAACUGGGUUUAGAACGCCGUGAGGCAGUUUGGAUUCUAUCUUCUAUGAGUUAGAAAACAAAAAGAACUUUAUACUAGUACGAGAGGACCGUAUAAAUUUAAUCAAUAGUUUACUUAUUGUUUAAUUUUUUUUAAGCACGUAAGUUAGCCACAUUAAAACAAGAUAAUUACUGAAAGCAUCUCAAGUAAGAAGCUUUUCUUUUUUGUUUUCAUUUUUAAAAUCGAAAAAGAUAUCAUUUCGUAAAUAGGCUUAAUAAAUUUAAUUUUAAUAAGUACUAAAUUUCUUUAACAUAUUUCU